AUAACAGAGAAUUGGGAAAUAGGCUCUACUGCUAAGUGAAGGAAAUUAGCCACACGAGUUUGAAUAAAAUUGUGUGUGCUGCCAUUAUCGAGCAUAACUUGCACUGAUGAGCCCUGAACGUAACCAGUAAAACGGAGAGCAGAAGCAGCAUCACCACCAGCCAUAGCGUGGUAUGAGAUACUGGACGAAUGCAUCACCUCAAGCUGUUGAAGCUCCUCAGCCAACAUUUCAUCAGUCAAA
rnacentral:misc_RNA from 1 species